rnacentral:rRNA from 1 species
ACAGAGGUCCCGAGCGUUGUUCGGAUUCACUGGGCGUAAAGGGUGCGUAGGUGGUGAGGUUAAGUCGGAUGUGAAAUCUCCGGGCUCAACCCGGAAACUGGCAUUGGGAAACUACCUUGCUUGAGGUUUUGAGGGGGGACUGGAAUUCUCGGUGUAGCAGUGAAAUGCGUAGAUAUCGAGAGGAACACCAGUGGCGAAGGCGAGUCCCUGGAAAACACCUGGACACUGAGGCACGAAAGCUAGGGGAGCAAACAGGAUUAGAUACCCUGGUAGUCCUAGCCCUAAACGGUGCUUGCUUGCUGUAAGUGGAAUCGACCCCACUUGUGGCGGAGCUAACGCGUUAAGCGAAGCCGCCUGGGAAGUACGGUCGCAAGAUUA